rnacentral:tRNA from 1 species
CAGGAUGUCGUAGUGUGAUUGAUAGUUGCCCUGCUUUGGGAGCAGGAGGUCCCCGGUUCAAAUCCGGGCGCCCCGA